UUCGACCUCAAAUCAGGUAGGAUUACCCGCUGAACUUAAGCAUAUCAAUAAGCGGAGGAAAAGAAACCAACAGGGAUUGCCUUAGUAGCGGCGAGUGAAGCGGCAAUAGCUCAAAUUUGAAAUCUGGCACUUUCAGUGUCCGAGUUGUAAUUUGAAGAAGGUAUCUUUG
rnacentral:rRNA from 1 species